CCGCAGAAUCCUGUGCUAAGGUAGCAUAAUCAUUAGCUUUUUAAUUAAAAGAUAGUAUGAAUGGUACUAUGAAAUACAAGCUGUUUCUAAAAUACAAAAUAAACUUACCAAAAAAGUAAAAACACUUUUAUUUUACAGAAAGACGACAAGACCCUGAUAAACUUACUAGUUUGCUGGGGUGGCAAAUAAAUUAAUUCUUAAUUUACUAAAAUAUUUACACUAGUAUAUAAUAAUAAAAGUUACUAUAGGGAUAACAGCGCCAUCUUUUUCAAAAGCUCAAAUUAAAAAAAAGAUUUACGACCUCGAUGUUGAAUUAAUAUUCUUUGUUAGAGCAACCACUACAAAAGAUAGUCUGUUCGACUAUUAAAAAAUU
rnacentral:rRNA from 1 species